rnacentral:rRNA from 1 species
GCCUUAGUAACGGCGAGUGAAGCGGCAAAAGCUCAAAUUUGAAAUCUGACGUAAGUCCGAGUUGUAAUUUGAAGAAGGUAAUUUUUGGGGAGAUGUUGACAAAAGUUCCUUGGAAUAGGACGUCAUAGAGGGUGAGAAUCCCGUUUUGUUGACCUCUCUCUCCUUGUAAAAUGCUUUCGAAGAGUCGAGUUGUUUGGGAAUGCAGCUCUAAGUGGGUGGUAAAUUCCAUCUAAAGCUAAAUAUUGGCGAGAGACCGAUAGCGAACAAGUACAGUGAUGGAAAGAUGAAAAGAACUUUGAAAAGAGAGUGAAAAAGUACGUGAAAUUGUUGAAAGGGAAGGGUUUUAAGGGAGACAUGGGAGGUAACGAACAAUUUUCUUUCGGGAAGGUGCACUCGUUGCUUUCUAGGCCAAUAUGGGUUUGAAGAGUGGGAUAAAAGGUUAGCAAUGUGGCCACUUGUGGUGUUAUAGGCUUUCCCAAUACCGCUACUUCGGACCAAGGAACGCG